rnacentral:rRNA from 1 species
CCUACGGGAGGCAGCAGUAGGGAAUAUUGCUCAAUGGGGGAAACCCUGAAGCAGCAACGCCGCGUGGAGGAUGAAGGUUUUCGGAUUGGAAACUCCUUUUGUUAGAGAAGAGAAUGACGGUACCUAACGAAUAAUCACCGGCCAACUCCGUUCCAGCAGCCGCGGUAAUACGGAGGGUGCAAGCGUUAUCCGGAAUCACGGGGCGUAAAGGGCGCGUAGGCGGGAUGGCAAGUCAGAUGUGAAAUCCUAUGGCUUAACCCUAGAACUGCAGUUGAAACUGUUAUUCUAGAGUAUGGGAGAGGUAGGUGGAAUUCUUGGUGUAGCGGUGAAAUCCGUAGAGAUCACGAGGAAUACUCAUUGCGAAGGCGACCUGCUAGAACAUAACUGACGCUGAUGCGCGAAAGCGUGGGGAGCAAACAGGAUUAGAUACCCCAGUAGUC